rnacentral:rRNA from 1 species
ACGAAGGGGGCUAGCGUUGUUCGGAAUUACUGGGCGUAAAGCGCACGUAGGCGGACUUUCAAGUCAGGGGUGAAAUCCCGGGGCUCAACCUCGGAACUGCCUUUGAUACUGUUAGUCUUGAGCUCGGAAGAGGUGGGUGGAAUUCCUAGUGUAGAGGUGAAAUUCGUAGAUAUUAGGAAGAACACCAGUGGCGAAGGCGGCCCACUGGUCCGAUGCUGACGCUGAGGUGCGAAAGCGUGGGGAGCAAACAGG